GUCCAGGUCAGGCCACGUCCAAAAGAGAACUUUGAGCAUCCCCAAUGGUAAUGAAAUAGAAGACUUUUGAAAAACACACGUUCAGCUCUCAGCUGUGUCUGACGGCCGUCAGCUGCAACACCGAGAUCUGGAGCCAUCUUUGAGGAACUACACUUGAUGUAUCUUCACUGAAUGUGAAGAAAUGAGCACAUUACUGUAACGACGGGGUCGCAUUUUACUGUGUGGAGUGUUCUCCCAAGAUGCAGCAGGAA